CGCGCGUAAGAAGGCUCUGGGUACGAGAAUGAGGCGGUGCUGAUCCAUUCUCGUGCCCAGAGCCCUUCUUACGCGCGGU